UCGAACGGAAUUUUGAAACUUCGGUCGAUUAAUUCUAGUGGCGGACGGGUGAGUAACGCGUGGGUACCUGCCUUAACAGGGGGAUAACAGUCAGAAAUGGCUGCUAAUACCGCAUAAGGCUGCAUGGCAAAAACUCCGGUGGUAUAAGAUGGACCCGCGUUGGAUUAGCUGGUUGGUGGGGUAACGGCCCACCAAGGCGACGAUCCAUAGCCGGCCUGAGAGGGUGAACGGCCACAUUGGGACUGAGACACGGCCCAGACUCCUACGGGAGGCAGCAGUGGGGAAUAUUGCACAAUGGGGGAAACCCUGAUGCAGCGACGCCGCGUGAAGGAAGAAGUAUCUCGGUAUGUAAACUUCUAUCAGCAGGGAAGAUAGUGACGGUACCUGACUAAGAAGCCCCGGCUAACUACGUGCCAGCAGCCGCGGUAAUACGUAGGGGGCAAGCGUUAUCCGGAUUUACUGGGUGUAAAGGGAGCGUAGACGGUGUGGCAAGUCUGAUGUGAAAGGCAUGGGCUCAACCUGUGGACUGCAUUGGAAACUGUCAUACUUGAGUGCCGGAGGGGUAAGCGGAAUUCCUAGUGUAGCGGUGAAAUGCGUAGAUAUUAGGAGGAACACCAGUGGCGAAGGCGGCUUACUGGACGGUAACUGACGUUGAGGCUCGAAAGCGUGAGGAGCAAACAGGAUUAGAUACCCUGGUAGUCCACGC
rnacentral:rRNA from 1 species